AUUGAACGCUGGCGGCAUGCCUUACACAUGCAAGUCGAACGGUAACAGGUCUUCGGAUGCUGACGAGUGGCGAACGGGUGAGUAAUGCAUCGGAACGUGCCCAGUAGUGGGGGAUAGCCCGGCGAAAGCCGGAUUAAUACCGCAUACGACCUGAGGGUGAAAGGGGGGGAUCGCAAGACCUCUCGCAAUUGGAGCGGCCGAUGUCAGAUUAGCUAGUUGGUGGGGUAAAGGCCUACCAAGGCAACGAUCUGUAGUUGGUCUGAGAGGACGACCAGCCACACUGGGACUGAGACACGGCCCAGACUCCUACGGGAGGCAGCAGUGGGGAAUUUUGGACAAUGGGCGCAAGCCUGAUCCAGCAAUGCCGCGUGCAGGAAGAAGGCCUUCGGGUUGUAAACUGCUUUUGUCAGGGAAGAAAUCAUCUGGGCUAAUACCCUGGGAGGAUGACGGUACCUGAAGAAUAAGCACCGGCUAACUACGUGCCAGCAGCCGCCGUAAGAC
rnacentral:rRNA from 1 species